GAUCCUGGCUCAGGAUGAACGCUAGCUACAGGCUUAACACAUGCAAGUCGAGGGGGCGAGCAUGAACUUAGCUUGCUAAGUUUGAUGGCGACCGGCGCACGGGUGAGUAACACGUAUCCAACCUUCCGUUUACUCAGGGAUAGCCUUUCGAAAGAAAGAUUAAUACCUGAUAGUAUGGUGAGAUUGCAUGAUAGCACCAUUAAAGAUUUAUUGGUAACGAUGGGGAUGCGUUCCA
rnacentral:rRNA from 1 species